rnacentral:rRNA from 1 species
GAUGAACGCUGACAGAAUGCUUAACACAUGCAAGUCGACCUGUGGCUGACAGGUGAGUAACGCGUAAAGAACUUGCCUCACGGAUAGGGACAACGUUUGGAGACGGAUGCUAAUACCGGAUCCUUUGAGAGAGCUUUGCGUCCAAUUAGCUAGUGGGAGAGGUAACGGCUCACCAAGGCGAGGAUGGGUAGCCGGCCUGAGCGGGUGAGCGGCCACAAGGGGAUGGAGACACGGCCCUUACUCCUACGUGAGGCAGCAGGGGGGAAUAUUGGACAAUGGACCAAAGUCUGAUCCAGCAAUUCUGUGUGCAAGAUGAAUUUUUCGGAAUGUAAAGUGCUUUCAGUUGGGAAGCGGUACCAACAGAAGAAGCGCCGGCUAACUACGUGCCAGCAGCCGCGGUAAUUC